UACGUAGGGUGCGAGCGUUGUCCGGAAUUACUGGGCGUAAAGGGCUCGUAGGCGGCCAACUAAGUCGGAUGUGAAAUCCCCAGGCUCAACCUGGGAACUGCAUCCGAUACUGGAUGGCUUGAAUCCGGGAGAGGGAUGCAGAAUUCCAGGUGUAGCGGUGAAAUGCGUAGAUAUCUGGAGGAAUACCGGUGGCGAAGGCGGCAUCCUGGACCGGCAUUGACGCUGAGGAGCGAAAGCUAGGGGAGCAAACGGG
rnacentral:rRNA from 1 species